rnacentral:rRNA from 1 species
UACGUAGGAGGCAAGCGUUGUCCGGAAUUAUUGGGCGUAAAAGAGCGCGUAGGCGGUCCGAUAAGUCGGCUGUGAAAGUCAAGGGCUCAACCCUUGAAAGCCGGCCGAUACUGUCGGACUAGAGUCCGGAAGAGGCGAGUGGAAUUCCCGGUGUAGCGGUGAAAUGCGCAGAUAUCGGGAAGAACACCCGUGGCGAAGGCGGCUCUCUGGGACGGUACUGACGCUGAGACGCGAAAGCGUGGGGAGCGAACAGG